rnacentral:rRNA from 1 species
UACGUAGGGUGCAAGCGUUAAUCGGAAUUACUGGGCGUAAAGGGUGUGUAGGUGGCGCGCUAAGUCGGGUGUGAAAUUUCGGAGCUUAACUCCGAAACUGCAUUCGAUACUGCCGUGCUUGAGGACUGGAGAGGAGACUGGAAUUUACGGUGUAGCGGUGAAAUGCGUAGAUAUCGUAAGGAAGACCAGUGGCGAAGGCGGGUCUCUGGACAGUUCCUGACGCUGAGGCACGAAGGCCAGGGGAGCAAACGGG